UACGAAGGGUGCUAGCGUUGUUCGGAAUCACUGGGCGUAAAGCGCGCGCAGGCGGCUUAUCAAGUCAGGGGUGAAAUCCCGGGGCUCAACCUCGGAAUUGCCUUUGAAACUGAUUCGCUCGAGUUCGGUAGAGGGUGGUGGAAUUCCUAGUGUAGAGGUGAAAUUCGUAGAUAUUAGGAGGAACACCGAUGGCGAAGGCAGCCACCUGGGCCGAUACUGACGCUGAGGCGCGAAAGCGUGGGGAGCAAACAGG
rnacentral:rRNA from 1 species